GUGGGGAAUCUUGCGCAAUGGGCGAAAGCCUGACGCAGCCAUGCCGCGUGAAUGAUGAAGGUCUUAGGAUUGUAAAAUUCUUUCACCGGGGACGAUAAUGACGGUACCCGGAGAAGAAGCCCCGGCUAACUUCGUGCCAGCAGCCGCGGUAAUACGAAGGGGGCUAGCGUUGCUCGGAAUUACUGGGCGUAAAGGGCGCGUAGGCGGACAGUUUAGUCAGAGGUGAAAGCCCAGGGCUCAACCUUGGAAUUGCCUUUGAUACUGGCUGUCUUGAGUACGGGAGAGGUGAGUGGAACUCCGAGUGUAGAGGUGAAAUUCGUAGAUAUUCGGAAGAACACCAGUGGCGAAGGCGACUCACUGGCCCGUUACUGACGCUGAGGCGCGAAAGCGUGGGGAGCAAACAGGAGUAGAUACCCGGGUAGUCC
rnacentral:rRNA from 1 species